ACUGACUUGGUUAGAAGACAGCUAGUCAUACUAGCUCUAUAACGUUAAUAUAGCGCAGGAGAGUUGCAGACGCGUUGCAGACACCGAACGGCAUUCAGUUCAACUGUGAAACAACAUCUGGAUUAUUAAAGUUGAUGAAAGUUUAAAUUAUAGUGCGGUGGAUCUAAAUGAGUUGUGUGGUUUGAUGCUAUAUUGGGCGGUUUAUGUAUGAAGGUUUGUCACAGUUUGUAGUAUAGUUCGGUUUAUAAAUAACAUCAUACAAAGUGGGCAGAGUGUAUAUAAUACUAACAUUCUUACGUCAAUAAACUGUUGAUUUCAAUAAUGAUGUUAUGAGGAGCAGUGACCUAUUUGUGAUAAUAGACCGUGUUUACAUGUUUUAGCAUACCAACGUAUUAGCUGAAUUAUUUAUCAAAUUGUUUAUCAUUGGGUAGGAACUAUCAAAGGGAAAUCCUCGAGACAGUAUAGUCGUUGGACAUUGUGAAGUCAUUAUUGGUGAAUUUGAAUUAAUGAAUUACAUUGGUGUGUGAUAUUAUAACGUUAUUGCAGUGAAGUUUUACAGGAGGUUAUUGCAGUGAAAUAUAACAGUAGAAUUGUCAGAGUAUCUCCUGGUACUGUUAUCUGAAAGUGAAAGUAGUGUUAAAAUUAUAAACAUUGAAUAUGGCCGGAAAAUUGUGUUCCUGUUUUCCUAGGAAAGUGAAAAAAGAAGAGGAAAACACAGCGCCAUCAAUGGUUUAUGUGAAACGUCCACGUGAAUAUGAUGAAAUAGAGUUAAAAGAUAAAGAUGGAAACCAUGAAAACCAUGACAAUAACAUGACAUCGGACCCGCCAUUAAACUAUGUUGAGGUCGACAUACAGCCGUCUAAUAAAACGACGAUUAUUGGAGAGAAAGCGCCACCUACCCAAUAUAGUACCAUAGAUAUCGACGCCACAGAGAAACGGAAGUUGUCUAUCGCUAGUGAUUAACAUAUCUAGCUUUAUAACAACAUUUUUAAAGGCUCAAUACCACUCUUGUUGUAACUGAAUAAUAUGUCCCAAUCUUUAUUCUGGUCAACAAAUUGUACUAUUUUAGAAUAUUUUAAUUAAUUGAUGAUACAAAUUUCAUCUUAACACACCUUAUUUAAAAAUUUUGAAAUAUUCAACAUAAUGGUUUGAAACGUCUAACGUAAACCUUUUCAAAUGAAACUUCGAUUUAAAAAUAUUUUCGAACCCUCUGGACAAGUAAAAUAGGAUGUAAUGGAUAAUUUACACAACAGGUAGGACACUUAAACAUCUAGUACUUAGAUAGAGAUAUUUAUUUUCUGGAGCUUUCAAGCCAGCAAGAGUGUUAUUGUCCCUUUAAAGGACCUCCCGUAUUUUUAUUUUUUAUAUAAAGUCAAAUUUUAACAAAUAACUAGUAUAGUAUGUAUAUUUGAAAUGUCGAAUCCAGGCUGGUCAAUAUGAUUAAAAAGCAGAUCUAUAUUUCGUUUCGUUUUUUUUUAAUACUCUCGAGGGUCUACAUUACAUGAAGAUCUGACCAGUUGUAGUUUAAGGUGACAUUGAUUAAUUAACCAGCGUUGACCUUUCUAGUGGUUUACCCACAGUUCCGUGCAAGCCAAUAACUCGCCGUAACAGAUCGUCCCAUUGGCUCAUCCCUCACAUUAACCAGAACGCAUGUUAUAUAACAACUCUUCCAGAUCCGAGUGCUGUCAAGACAAGUAAAACGAAAUUUUGAACUAUAAAAUAUGAAACGAAAUGGGAUCUGUGUUUUAAUCAGAUUGACGUUUAAUAGCAACAUUAUCAAAAAUCUCAGUCAGUUUUUAAAAAUUAAAACUUUACCGAAAACCGUAAAACUAACAAUAUUAUUAAAGGUUCAUGUAUUUGUAAUUUAUUUUAAACGUCAAUUUUAACAUAAAAUUAGUACAGCAUGCAUGUUUGAAACAUCGAAUUAAGACUGGUCAAUGAUUAAUAACAAUAUUAUUAAAACAGAACUCAAUUUUUUAUAGGAAAUUAAUCACUGGUUUUUAUUCUAAAAGCACGAAGUGCCAGUUAGAAUGGUGCAAUGGGCCCUUUGAAUUUUCUAAUGUACCACUUGGAAUGUUCUAAUGUACCACUUGGAAUGUUCUAACGUGCCACUUGGAAUGUUCUAAUGUACCACUUGGAAUGUUCUAAUGUGCCACUUGGAAUGUUCUAAUGUACCACUUUGAAUGUUCUAAUGUGCCACUUGGAAUGUUCUAAUGGACCACUUGGAAUGUUCUGAUGUGUCACUUGGAAUGUUCUGAUGUGCUACUUGGAAUGUUCUAAUGUGCCCUUUGGAAUGUUCUAAUGUGCCACUUGGAAUGUUCUAAUGUUAGGUUAAUCACUCACUCUGCUCAAAAUGAUUUUAAUUUCUUCUUUUAUUUACGUUAUUGGAAAAGAAGUCCCUAUCGCCCCCACCUUGAUUAGCAGAUCAGUACGACGUUAAACCCCAUUUCGUUUUAUUUCAUUAUCGCUCGUUUUAGUCAUUGUUGAAUACCAACGAUGUCAUUAUUUCAUUAUCGCUCGUUUUAAUCAUUGUUGAAUACAAACGACGUCAUUAUUUCCUCGAGAUGGAGUAGACACGAAGAGUCAAUUUCCUACAUAUGGAGUAGAUACGAAGGGUUUGUUUUAUUGUAUAUAAGUAAUAUAUAAACACAUUAUAAUGUGUCAAAUAUAUUUAUGUUAUUUGGAAAGGAGUAAGUAUACCCUCCACUCCGCCCCAACACUCCGGUUUGCUCACUACACUUAAUUAUUAUUAUUUUUUUUAGCGUUUUCUAUCCGGUUAUCUCCCUUAUUGUUGAAAUUUUUUGAGGUUCUAAUUCAUGACGUCAACUGGCAGACUAUCGCCAUUGAAGAGAUGACCGCUGUCAAGAUCGGUCGCAUUAUUUCUGUUACGUCUUUUUGUAAAUCAUUUAUUUUUUUUUCAAUUUGAGUGAAGCCUGUACCAUAACAGGCCCGGGACUAUACAGCGCAGUGGACGCUUAUGGCUGGCCACCGGAUCCAUUCACUUGAUGUGAUAUUUGUUUAUUUCUUGCAAUAUUGUUACAGACUGGCUAUUACGUAAUGCUAGAUUAGCUUUCCGUACAAGUCACAUAACACUAACUGGCCAGGUGCCUGUUUCACGAAAUUUUAACUAAGAUAAAAUCCAAAUUUUAGUAAUUUGAUUGGAUAAUAUUAUAUUGAUUUUAGUGCUUAGCCAAUCAAAAUUGAACUAUCUACUAAAAUUUGGAUUUUAUCUUUAGUUAAAAUUUCGUGAAACAGGGCCCUGGUGUUUAAUGAAUCAAGUAUCUGUCAUACAUGACAGCUGACAUGACCGGAUAUUUACAUGUAAUUGGUCAAAAAUGGUAUGAUAUCGUUUAGAUACUAUUCUCCUAUUGUGUAACAAUAUCUCUGCAUUCUGUCUUGUCCACUGGUUUAUCUUGUAGAUUAGAAGAUAGUAGUACCAUUACAGAUCCAGGGCCCUUAUUCACGAAAACUUAAACUAAGAUACAAUCGAAAUUUUAAGAAAUACUGCAAUUUGAUUGGCUGACCAGUAAAAUCAACUUGCAUAUAUCCAAUGAAGUUGCAGUAUUUCUUAAAAUUUCAGUUGUAACUUAGUUUAAGUUUUCGUGAAUAAGGGCCCAGGAUUGUACAGCACAGUGGACGCUUACGGCUGACCCCCGGAUACAUUCAUUUAAUUUGAUAUUUGUUAUUUUUUGCAAUGUCUGUAUAUUCUGUCUUAUUCACGGGUUUAUCUUGUAAGUUUUUGUUUUGUGUGUAGUGCGGUCCUACUGCACUCACUAUUAGUUAUUACUGUAUACCGAUAUAAUAUAUUUGUUUUAUAAGACAGAUUGAUAAUUUGUCGGCUGUACCAUGCCAUAAUUUUCUUGUACAAUAGAUUGCUAAUAUGUCAAGUAUAUCAUUCCAUAAUUCCUUGAUUAUUGUAUAUGCAAUUUCAUCGAACCCUUUGAUGUUUACCGAAAGAUUCAAAUUGUGACAUUAAGUUUGAAAAUAAUCUUGAGGCGACUGACAUGGCUUUAGAAUCAGAUAAUCGUUUCGUUUUAUUUCUAAUAUGUCUUACAAUGAUUGUAAAAUUAACGAAACGAAAUUGUAAUGGAAUCUAUCUUAACCUCCUCUGGGUAAAAUCCCUUUUUCUUUUCUUCUGUUGUUGAUAUUUAUUUAUACUAUAGUAAGGCUAAUUACAUCGUUAAAAUGUUGAUAUUUACACAAUCUUUAUAUUUAUACUGCAGGAAGAUUUAACAACUUCUUUAUGUAAGAUCUAACAACAUCGUUAUAUUUACACUACAGUAAUAUCUAACGAUAUCUUAAACUUGACGUAUUUGACUAUAUCUUAUACUUAACGUAUUUGGGUGGUUGGAUGGCUGAAUGGUUAGCGUGCGCGCGCUGUAUCAUAAAGCCUGUCAUUGAGUCAACUGGCGUGGUUUCGAAUCCCCGGUUGUACGUGGCAAGGAGUAGGGUCGCCUGUCCAACCACGUGGGUUUUCUCCGGGUCCUCCGGUUUCCUCCCACUGCUAAAGACCCCUACGCGCAAGCGAAUUAUUGAAAUAAAAUUAAACCAUAUGUUUGUCCCGAAAUGACCUAGUUUGUGUCGAGUGGACGUUAACCCCCAGUUCUCUCUCUCUCUCUCACCAACGUAUUUAAAAAAUGGACGUAUUACUCUCCUCGACAAUAAUUGCCUUGAUCCAAACACAGGGGCCCAAUUUAGAAUUCAAAGAAAACGAUUCAAUUACAUGUAAAUAUAAUGUUAUUAGAUGGUAUAAAACGUAACUGAAUUAGAUUAUAUUUCAAUGUAAUCGAAUUAUAUAUAAUUAAUUGAAUUAUAUAUAAUUAAUUGAAUUAUAUAUAAUUAAUUGAAUUAUUUGUAUUUAAUUGAAUUAUUUGUAUUUAAUUGAAUUAUUUGUAUUUAAUUGAAUUAUCUCAAUGUAAUGUAAUUAAUUAUAUGUCAAUGUAAUUGAAAUGAUUGUAUUUAAAUAUAAAUAAUAUAAUGUAAUUAGAUUGUAUUUAAAUGUAAUUGAUUUGAUUCUAUUUAAAUGUAAUUAAUUUAAUUCUAUUUAAAUGUGAUUGAUUUAAUUUUAUUUAAUACGAUUAAUUUUAUUUAAUACGAUUAAUUAUAUUUAAUUGGAUUAAUUGUACUUGAUUGUAUUGAAUUUUAAUUAAUUGUAUUUAAUUGUGUCGAAAUGAAAUGUAAUUAUAUUCACAGUAUCAGCUUUUACAAUAUUACAGAACAUACUUGUCCUACAAGAUUACACCAUCUCUCUCUCUCUCUCGCUCGCUCUCUCUCUCUCUCUCUCUCUCUCUCCACCUCUUCAUUCUCACACACACCAUAAACCCUGUCCCCAUCUGGAUAUCUCGCUCUCUGUGGGCUGUUCUUUUAUUCAACAUUCUAGCUUGUCACGUGUAUUUUAAUAUAUCCAUUAAUGCCAGUCACGUGCCUUGAUAUAUUGUAUAAAUAAAAUUGUUGCCAUAUGACUUGUUAUAUAAUUUAACUGUAUAAAAGCAACUCUGUAAAUAAAAUAUUACCUAUAUAUAAUACAAUUCA